rnacentral:lncRNA from 1 species
GAAAUUUUCUGGGAAGGGUUUGCUCAAGGUCAGCACACAGAAGCUGUGUUCCAGAGGCGGCUAUGGUUGUAGCUUGUGUUUGGCAGGCUCAGCGUGGUAGUGUAAGCAUCACCCAGGUGGUACUGGUUUUGAAGGCGAGAAGGGAUCAUGCAGAGCAGCCGAGGCUUGGCACUGUGAGAGGCCAGGAGAGGCCAUGGGUGUUGGUGCAGCCUCAGUGGCAGUUGAAGGCUCAGGAUUGAAGGGGUCAUGGAGAGCAGCUGAGGCUUGGCACCAUGAAGAGAGCCCAGGGGAGGCUGUUGACUGAAGUGCAGCCCAGUGGCAGCAGAGAUCUCUGGUAUCAAGAUGCUCUUCUUGGAAUGACCACGAACAACAGCAGCAGUAGUGGAGUGGAAUCAGCCUGAGCUUAGACGACAAGCUGUGUGCUGCAGAGCGCAGAGUCGGAAAGCGACCCCAGCCUUUGGAGGAGCCUCGGAGGAUCCAAGAACCUGCUACCCCAUUGGAAGUGGCCAUCAAACCUCAAUAUCUACAAACAGCAGUUGGGAUGCAGGCCAAGAAACAGUGGCAUUGGUUUGCCUCGAUCCUCAUUGCUGAUCUUCACCGACAAGGCUGUGCGUUGGUUUGCCUUGCUCUUCUGCCUUCCUAGUCUCCUCUGACUACACUUGGGCAUUGGCUCACCUUGCAUCACAUGGCUGAUCUUCGCUCGUCAUGACUUCGUAGUGAGUAACUUGUCAAAGAACCUCUCAUGAUAUUCUGGCAGCUUCUUGCCACUUUUGUGGACUUGGGCUGAUGGAUGGAGCCUCACAGUUUCUUCUGAAUUGAACAGCCGUUGCUGAUUUGUGAUUGGUGCUUGCUGAGUGGACUGGAUUGCCAGUGAUGAUUCGUGUUGGUGUCUUGAAAGUGGACUGGACUGCUGACAAUGAAGACUGGAAUUGCCCCAAAGAAUUUAUUUCUAAACAGGUCCACAACCCCUGUUUCCUAUUAACCUUUCUUUUCCAUUACCUCUGGAGGGUAGUGGGCUAGAAGGGAGGUUGAAGUGUUUAGAACCCUUAUUAAAGUGGAUUUUGAAAAUCAAAGACUACAGAAAUGGUCUGAGGUGCCUAAUGUUCAGGCCUUCUGAUCAUCUGCUAGGACAAGGAGACAUGCAGGGAAGGCUCAGUGGGGAUGCCUGUUGCAACGGUUUGUAUAUUCUUGGCCUAGGGAGUGGCACUAUUUAAAGAUGUGGCCUUGUUGAAGUAUUUGUCCCUGUGGGCAUGGGCUUUAAUACCCUGUCCUAGAUGCCUAUCCAACCAAUGUUCAGAGGGCCUUCAGAUGAAGAUGUAGAACUCUCAGAUCCUUCUGCACCAUGCCUGCCUGGAUGCUACCAUGCUCCUGCCUUGAUGAUAAUGGACUGACUUCUGAACCUCUAAGCAAGACCAAUAAAACAUUGUCCUUU